rnacentral:ncRNA from 1 species
CUUUUCGGUGUGAGCUGGGUGAGGUCGCAGAGACCAGUGAGAAGCGACUGUUUACUAAAAACACAGGUCCGUGCGAAGUCGUAAGACGAUGUAUACGGACUGACGCCUGCCCGGUGCUGGAAGGUUAAGAGGACCGGUUAACUGCACUUGUGUGGUGAAGCUGAGAAUUUAAGCCCCAGUAAACGGCGGUGGUAACUAUAACCAUCCUAAGGUAGCGAAAUUCCUUGUCGGGUAAGUUCCGACCUGCACGAAUGGCGUAACGACUUCUCAGCUGUCUCAACCAUAGACUCGGCGAAAUUGCAGUACGAGUAAAGAUGCUCGUUACGCGCGGCAGGACGAAAAGACCCCGGGACCUUCACUAUAGCUUGGUAUUGGUGUUCGGUUCGGUUUGUGUAGGAUAGGUGGGAGACUGUGAAGCGGUGACGCUAGUUACUGUGGAGUCGUUGUUGAAAUACCACUCUGAUCGUAUUGGAUACCUCAACCUCGGACCAUGAUCUGGUUCAGGGACAGUGCCUGGU